GGUUGAUCCUGCCAGUAGCAUAUGCUUGUCUUAAAGACUAAGCCAUGCAUGUCUAAGUAUAAACCUUUAUACGGUGAAACUGCGAAUGGCUCAUUAAAUCAGUUAUAGUUUAUUUGAUAAUACCUACUACUUGGAUAACUGUAGUAAUUCUAGAGCUAAUACAUGCUGAAACACCCGACUCAGGGAGGGUGGCGUUUAUUAGAUAAAAAACCAAUGCGGGGACCUCCCCGGACCGUUGAUGACUCAUAAUAACCGAGCGAAUCGCAUGGCCUCGAGCCGGCGAUGAUUCAUU
rnacentral:rRNA from 1 species